AGGAGACUAUUGGUAGCGGUGGAUUUCCUAUACACGUUAGUGAUGAUCUGACCGGAAUCACCAAUAGCAAUUGAUAGAUCCAGAAAGGACAUUUGUGUAUCAUUAAUCUCUGAGGUGUCAAAAUCUUUUCUAAAAAGAUGGAAAGGGGGACCAGUAUGGACUCAGUUGAGGCUACAAUCGGGCGACCUGGUGGAUUAUUGAGGUUCUUGUGUAUCUUAGAUCACAUAGAAUGGCUUUAACCCUGGUGCCACUGUAGACUCUCAUUUGCUUUGGUACAGCAUUAUCCACGUCCUUUUUAUCACAAGACUAGAUCGGUGUUACUGCGGAUCUCAGCCCUCAUGUGACUACAUGUUUUAUUUGAAAUUGAUUUCUGCCAUGUUACAUUUACUUCAUUGUUGUAUGUACAUAAUACCUAUUGUAUUGAAUAGAAAUACAUUGAUUUCCGCGUACCAUACUACGGAUCUAAAUAAUAUUUCUCGUUUCAUACUGAGCUGUAUAACACCAUGUUUGUCAUGAUGUG